UAGAUUCGAUCUUACAUAUACUAUCAUCAUCGAUAAUGAACGAUAAUUCGACAAUCAGAACUUCAAAAAAUUUUAUGUGAAAUUUUAUAUUACGCACAAACUCACAUUAGUUGAUCAUCCACAAUCUAAUAAUGAAGUAAAAGUAACAAACUGAAUAAUUUUACAUGAUCUCAAAACCAGAUUGAAUGAAGCUAAAAGCCUC
rnacentral:lncRNA from 1 species